rnacentral:rRNA from 1 species
UAGUCGCACGGGUUAGACCCGUGGCGGAAAGCUCAGUAACACGUGGCCAAACUACCCUGUGGACUGGAAUAACCUCGGGAAACUGAGGCUAAUUCCUGAUACAGCUCCCAGACUGGAGUGUCGGGAGCUGGAAACGUUCCGGCGCCACAGGAUGUGGCUGCGGCCGAUUAGGUAGACGGUGGGGUAACGGCCCACCGUGCCGAUAAUCGGUACGGGUUGUGAGAGCAAGAGCCCGGAGACGGUAUCUGAGACAAGAUACCGGGCCCUACGGGGCGCAGCAGGCGCGAAACCUUUACACUGCACGACAGUGCGAUAGGGGGACUCCGAGUGCGAGGGCAUACAGUCCUCGCUUUUCUGUACCGUAAGGUGGUACAGGAACAAGUGCUGGGCAAGACCGGUGCCAGCCGCCGCGGUAAUACCGGCAGCACGAGUGAUGGCCGAUCUUAUUGGGCCUAAAGCGUCCGUAGCUGGCCAGACAAGUCCGUUGGGAAAUCCACGCGCUCAACGCGUGGGCGUCCAGCGGAAACUAUCUGGCUUGGGGCCGGAAGACCCGAGGGGUACGUCCGGGGUAGGAGUGAAAUCCCGUAAUCCUGGAC